UCUCUCUCUCACACCUGUCACCACCUCCCACCACCACCAUUACCAUCUACCUACUACAGUUGUAACUAAACCGAAACCACCCACACAACCCACCCACCACUGUCCAACACCGCCUCCCCUGCACCGGUCUUCACCACCACCCUCCACCUCCACCUCCACCACCAAAUAAAGAACAACCGUCGACACCACCACAACCCUUCAUCGUCUACAACCACAUCACCACCACCCUCUACUCUCUACAAUCAGGCAGAAUGUCUAAAUCAACUCAAAAACUUUAAAAUCCACAAAAUCAAAAACCCCCAAAAUCCCCAAUUUCAAAAACCCAACAUUUCAAAAAUACUGUAAGGGAUCUACAAUUUAUCCAAGCCCUAAACAUUUAGUCGCACAAUCGCACAGGGGAACAGCAGCAAUGGAUUAUGUGAGCCCUGAAGGACUUCGUUUGGAUGGACGUCGCCCCAUGGAGAUGAGACAAUUUAGAGCAGAACUUGGUGCUGUUUCCAGAGCGGAUAGGACGGCGGUUUUUCAGAUGGGCGAUGGCGAUUAGAGGUGUUGGUGGAUGUUAUCCGGUGAAGGGUGAACAAUAAUGGUGGUGGUGGUGGGCGUUUGAUUUAGUUCUAUGUGUGUGGGGUAAUAGAAUUUAGAGUGAGAUAUGAGUUUAGAGAGACGAGAGAGAGUGACUGAGGUUCAGAUUUUU